CUACGGGCUGCACCAGUGGGGAAUAUUGCACAAUGGGCGCAAGCCUGAUGCAGCCAUGCCGCGUGUAUGAAGAAGGCCUUCGGGUUGUAAAGUACUUUCAGCGGGGAGGAAGGGAGUAAAGUUAAUACCUUUGCUCAUUGACGUUACCCGCAGAAGAAGCACCGGCUAACUCCGUGCCAGCAGCCGCGGUAAUACGGAGGGUGCAAGCGUUAAUCGGAAUUACUGGGCGUAAAGCGCACGCAGGCGGUUUGUUAAGUCAGAUGUGAAAUCCCCGGGCUCAACCUGGGAACUGCAUCUGAUACUGGCAAGCUUGAGUCUCGUAGAGGGGGGUAGAAUUCCAGGUGUAGCGGUGAAAUGCGUAGAGAUCUGGAGGAAUACCGGUGGCGAAGGCGGCCCCCUGGACGAAGACUGACGCUCAGGUGCGAAAGCGUGGGGAGCAAACAGGAUUAGAUACCCUAGUUAGUC
rnacentral:rRNA from 1 species